UUACGGUCAAAUCACGCUGAAAACACCGGUUCUCGUUCGAUCACCGAAGUUAAGCAUCGUAGAGCCAGGUCAGUAUUUAGAUGGGGGACCGCUUGGGAAUACCUGGUACUGUAAGC
rnacentral:rRNA from 1 species